rnacentral:rRNA from 1 species
UUGCCUUGCCUUGCAUGAUCUCAUCAGAUCUGAGAAGCCAGGCGAGGCUGGGCCUGGUUAGCACUUUGAUGUGAGACCGUUGGGAAUAUCAGGU